rnacentral:lncRNA from 1 species
GAUGUUCAAAGCUUUACUCAAGCUUUUUUUGUAAUUUUUCCUUAUUGGGAAAUUUCUCCUCUUGAGGGACACUGAAUGUCAAGUUAACAAAAGGUGCUUUCUACAUGUUUUCUUCUGUGUAGCAAUUGUCUGAGUGUAGUGAGAGAGUGUAGAGCUCUCUAUGUUUAACCAAACACUAAAGACGGACACCAGUUUCCUCUCCAUUCCAAAUUUCUCAGGGCCUUGCAUAGCAUUCUGAUCAAAAAAAAAGAUAAGGAUAAUGAAAACAGAAUAAUUUACAUACCAUAUAGCAAAUCAAACUCCAUGAAGCAUAUACCCUAGCACAGUCGGUGAAGUAGGGCUCUGUAGAAGUGAUGUGAUGUUCAUAUUUGAUAUGAAAUGAUGCCUGGUGUCAUACUAUGCAAUUUGUGAUACUUUAGCAGCAUUCAGGUGACAGAGACCAAAAGUAAAGUACUGCUUUUUGCUAGUGUGUGGGCAGUUCUGGUGCUAAGAUGGCACAAUUCUGUGAUUUUUUUGUCACAUAUUUUAAAUGCUACUGAAUUCUCAGAGAUUAGUAAGUAUUCUUUAUCACCUUGCUUUCUUGCAAAACAAACAAAAAAAUGUUUUGAAAUGUGAAGUGCAGCUUGUGACUGCUUUAAAAUAUCUCUUGAUGUCUACGUAAAGCACUCUUUCUUUCUUUUGGAAGAUGUGAAUGCCGGUUUAUCUUUAAAUGCUAUUUGGAAUGAGAAGGAAUAUUCUCUGACAAGUUACUUACAAUGCAGGAACUGUGUCAUCCAGUCGAUUUCUGCAUGUCCUUUGAUAGGAGCUGAGGUUACUCACUUCAAUAAUAAAGUACAGUCUCAGGUCUGGCUGCUUCCAUCGUCUGUUCGUUAUUGCUUAUUGCUACAGAACCCUAAGAACUGAAACCAGGCAAUU